rnacentral:rRNA from 1 species
GACAGAGGGUGCAACCGUUGCUCGGAAUUACUGGGCGUAAAGCGCGUGUAGGUGGCUUGGUGUGUCAGAUGUGAAAGCCCUGGGCUCAACCCAGGAACUGCACCUGAAACUACCAGUCUUGAGUGGUGGAGAGGGAAGUGGAAUUCCUGGUGUAGAGGUGAAAUUCGUAGAUAUCAGGAGGAACACCGAUGGCGAAGGCAGGUCUCUGGGCCACUACUGACGCUGAGAAGCGAAAGCAUGGGGAGCGAACAGG